rnacentral:rRNA from 1 species
AUUGAACGCUGGCGGCAGGCCUAACACAUGCAAGUCGAACGAGCGGCGGACGGGUGAGUAAUGUCUGGGAAACUGCCUGAUGGAGGGGGAUAACUACUGGAAACGGUAGCUAAUACCGCAUACCAUCGGAUGAGCCCAGAUGGGAUUAGCUUGUAGGUGGGGUAACGGCUCACCAAGGCGACGAUCCCUAGCUGGUCUGAGAGGAUGACCAGCCACACGGGGACGGACACAGAGACCAGACUCCUUCGGGAGGAAGCAGGGGGGAAUAUUGCACAAUGGGCGCAAGCCUGAUGCAGCCAUGCCGCGUGUAUGAAGAAGGCAGGCGGGUUGUAAAGUACUUUCAGUGGGGAGGAGUUACCCGCAGAAGAAGCACCGGCUAACUCCGUGCCAGCAGCCGCGGUAAUAC